CCUACGGGAGGCAGCAGUGAGGAAUAUUGGUCAAUGGACGAGAGUCUGAACCAGCCAAGUAGCGUGAAGGAUGACUGCCCUAUGGGUUGUAAACUUCUUUUAUAGGGGACUAAAACGUUCCACGUGUGGGAUUUUGUAUGUCCCAUAUGAAUAAGGAUCGGCUAACUCCGUGCCAGCAGCCGCGGUAAUACGGAGGAUACGAGCGUUAUCCGGAUUUAUUGGGUUUAAAGGGUGCGUAGGUGGAUUGUUAAGUCAGUUGUGAAAGUUUGCGGCUCAACCGUAAAAUUGCAGUUGAAACUGGCAGUCUUGAGUACAGUAGAGGUGGGCGGAAUUCGUGGUGUAGCGGUGAAAUGCUUAGAUAUCACGAAGAACUCCGAUUGCGAAGGCAGUUCACUGGACUGCAACUGACACUGAGGCUCGAAAGUGUGGGUAUCAAACAGGAUUAGAUACCCCAGUAGUC
rnacentral:rRNA from 1 species